GACGAACGCUGGCGGCGUGCUUAACACAUGCAAGUCGAACGGCAAGGCCCUGCUUUUGUGGUCUUCUCGAUUGCCCAUCGGGUGAGUAACACGUGUGUAUCCUUCCCUUCACUUUGGUAUAUCUUCAGGUAACUGGGCCUAUUACCCUAUAGCAUCUCCUGCUGCAUGGUGGGGGUUGGAAAGUUUCGGCGGUUGGGGAUGGACUCGCGGCUUAUCUGCUUGUUGGUGGGGUAGUGGCUUACCAAGGGUUUGACGGAUACCCGGCCUGAGAGGGUGACCGGAGACAAGGGGACUGAGAUACGGAGCAGAGGGCAACGGGAGGCAGCAGUGGGGAAUAUUGCACAAUGGGAGGAAGGCUGAGGAAGAAACGCGGGGGGCGGGAAGACGGCCUUCGGGUAGUAAAAAGAAAUAGGAUGAGACGAAGCGUGAGUGACGGUAAUGGGUAAAGAAGCACCGGCUAACUACGUG
rnacentral:rRNA from 1 species